GCCGGAGUGGCGGAAUUGGUAGACGCGCCGGAUUCAAAAUCCGGUUCCUUCUGGGAGUGCCGGUUCGAUUCCGGCCUUCGGUACCA
rnacentral:tRNA from 1 species